GACGAACGCUGGCGGCGUGCUUAACACAUGCAAGUCGAACGGAAAGGCCCUGCUUGCAGGGUACUCGAGUGGCGAACGGGUGAGUAACACGUGGGUGAUCUGCCCUGCACUUCGGGAUAAGCCUGGGAAACUGGGUCUAAUACCGGAUAGGAGCCAUUUUUAGUGUGAUGGUUGGAAAGUUUUUUCGGUGUAGGAUGAGCUCGCGGGCUAUCAGCUUGUUGGUGGGGUAAUGGCCUACCAAGGCGGCGACGGGUAGCCGGCCUGAGGGGGUGGACGGCCACAAUGGGACUUAGAGGCGGCCCAGACACCGACGGGUGGCAGAUGGGGGGAAUAUUGAAAAAGGGGCGCAAGCCGGAUGCAGCGACGCCGCGUGGGGGAGGACGGCCUUCGGGUUGUAAACGCCAUUCGCUAGUGACUGAGCUUUUUGUGACGGUACCUAGACAAGAAGCACCGGCUAACUACGUG
rnacentral:rRNA from 1 species